CCAGCCUGCACCACAGCUCAUGGCAACACCAGAUCCUUAACUCACUGAGUGAGGCCAGGGAUCGAACCCGCAUCCUCAUGGAUACUAGUCGGGUUUGUUACCCCUGAGCCACGACGGGAACUCCCCACUCCCCCUUCUUAAUCAGCCCCGGCCGCGCCAGGCCUACCGUCUGGCCCUCCGCAUUCUUCAGCAUAGUGUGGGCACCUGGUCAGUCAGGGUCCAGCGUGUGUCAAAGAGAAUACAGAUCUGACCUCAUUCACAUUUCUUUUAUUUGAAGUUUUAGCCUCUUGAAAGCUGUGGACGGCCUUCAGAAAAUGCACAGACACACAAGUCUGAACUGUGCAUACAUUUCAGAGAGUGGGUCUGGAAAGCUUCUUGAUGAACGCAAGUCAGGGGCCUUUGCCAAUAAUGCCAGAGCCCGCAGGCCUGGCCAGCACUCUGCGUGCGCUGUGUGCCGGGCACAUACCGAGUGCUUCAUUGCUUCCCGGCCUCCCUGAGAGGGAUGUUCUAUGGUCACCCCCAUUUUCUGGAGGAGGAAACUGAGACUUUUCUGGGGGUGCAAUAUUAAGUCACUUGUCCAAGGUCACAGGGCUAGAGUGUGUCUGAGCCCCCAGAUCCCAACCCAGGCCAUCUGAUUCUGGGCCAGAAGCGUCCUAAGUGGAAGGUGGCUCAUCCUCCCCAAACCCCCAUGUCUUCCCUGGAUCAUCGUGUCAUCACUUACCGACUCCGCUGAGCCCUCCCCUCCCCUGGCAGGAAGCCAGUCUCUGUUUAGCCCUGUUCUCUGUUCUGCGCAGUCUUGACCAUCGCCCGCUGAGGAUGGUGGUCCUGAGGGUGACGCCUUGGGUGGGGUAGGGGUGACGGCUGGGUCUCUAGGUUUCCCCACAGGCUCUCCCAGACCCUCCUCCCCUCCCCCCGCCCCCCUCGGUUUCCUGCGUCACUCUGUUUGAAGGGCAGCAGAGGGGCAGCUGGCAGGCCCCUGUCCUUAUCACGGGCUCGUGUUUGCCAGAGCUCCCCAUGUCGUGCUUGGGGCUGCCACAGGCACGUGCCCCCAGUGAACCCCGCUUUUCUCUCCUGGGCACCCCCCUCGCAGGCGAAGCUGGUCCGGUACAUUUGCAAGCAGCGGCAGUGCAAGCUGAGCGUGGCCCCCGGGGAGAGGCCCUCCGAGCUCAACAGCUACCCUCAGGGGAAGGGGACGUGGAGGCGGGGGCAUAGGUGGUGGCAGCAGGAGGGACCCAGGGUAAAUGUGGCUCCGCAUGUGUCCUGGGCCCCAUCGCCUUCUGAGCCGGACAGCCGGACCACACCAUGCACAGGUUCGCACUUCUGGAAAUGUUGGCUGUGCCGCAGACCCUGAGUUAAGCAUUCUGUGUAGAUAAUCUCACUUAAUUCUCACAAAACUCUGUGAAGGCGUUGCUAUCAUGAUGGCCAUUUUAUACAUGACAACAUUAAAGGAUAGGACGGUCAAAUAACUUUUUAAAAUCGUACACAUAGUGAUGAUAGCUUUGGAAUUUGGAAGCAAGGGUCUGUGUGUAGCUUUCUCCUGCGACCGCAAUAACAUACUGUCUUCCCUCCUUUGCUCCCUCUUCCCACCCAUCCAGUCUACCCACCCACCUAUCUGCUAACCAACUAAUCCAGCCGUAUUCACGGAGAGUGGCGGGGGUCAGGGGCCAGGGGUCAGGGGUCAGAACAUAUCUCAUGGGGCAUCAAUAAAACAGUGCUUGGAAGGUGCGGUCGUACACCCAGCCAGGUCUUUUAAAUCUCUUAUUUCUAUUCUAAAAUUUAAAAAAUCAACACUUAUUAUUGUUUUAAAAGUAAUAUGAAUUCAUUUAUAAAGAUGCUUUGGAAAACAGAAAAAUGAGGGGGAAAAAUCACAUGCAUAUUCCCACCACUCAGAAAAUCUGUGAUCAGUAAGAUUUUGAUAUUUCCUUCUAGUCUCUCUCUCUUUUUUUAACCCUAAUACUUAAGUUUUUUAAAAAGUCCCUAAAGGGUUAGACCUUUGCCAUCUGGCCAAUAUUACAUAUUUGGAAUGUGGCAAGUCCCCAUUGAGAUGUGUUAUGAUUUCAAAGAUGUAAAUUCAAAGAUGUGCUGAAUUCUGAAGACCAGAUACAGAAAAAAGAAAAUAUUAAUCGCUUUUAAUAUUUAAUCUGUUAGAUGAUGACACUAGUUUGGAUAUAUUAAGGUAAAUAAAAUGUGAUUAAAAUUAAUUUUAUGUAUAUUUACUUUUUAAAAUGUGGCUACUCAAAAAUGAAAAUUUAAGCGUGUGGCUUGCAUUGUAUUUCUGUUGGGCAGCACUAGUUUAAACUAUCCUGAAGAGGAGUUCCCGUCGUGGCUCAGCGGAAAUGAAUCUGACUAGGAAUCAUGAGGUUGCAGGUUCGAUCCCUGGCCUUGCUCAGUGGGUUAAGGAUCCGGCAUUGCCAUGAGCUGUGGUGUAGGUCGCAGAUGCAGCUCGGAUCCCGCGUGGCUGUGGCUGUGGUGUAGGCCGGUGGCUACAGCUCCAAUUUGACCCCUAGCCUGGGAACCUCCAUAUGCC
rnacentral:lncRNA from 1 species